GGGGACGUAGCUCAGUUGGCUAGAGCGCCUGAAUGGCAUUCAGGAGGUCGAGGGUUCGACUCCCUUCGUCUCCACCA
rnacentral:tRNA from 1 species